rnacentral:lncRNA from 1 species
UUUUAGAGUGCUGAGCACAAGCUGCAGUUUGUUUAAUAAACCCCCUCUUGUGAUUUACAUUGUUGGUCAUUGUUUCAUCUUUGGGAUGGAAUCACCAGGCACUUCAUAUGGGGAAUCAUCUCAGGAUCCCAUGACGGAAACUGAGUCUUACCAACAGAGGGAGGGGACCCCUGUUGUCUGGGCAACUCUAGACAACGGCAUCUGGAACACAUCACAUCUCUGUGGAGGAUGGUAGGGUCAGCCAUCCGCUCUGGACCUGCUUGACCCAGAUCACUCUCCUGAUCCUGACCUUCCCUGACCCCAGAUGAUCUCCAGCCUCUAAGCCAGAUUGCCUCAGACCAGCCCCAGGACCCAGGCUGCUGGUAGCCGCUCCUGUGCCUUCAGGAAUCACAAAUCAACUGUGGAUCAUGGCCAGAUAUGAAGAGGAAAUGGAUCUCAUUUUGUUUAAAUUC